rnacentral:rRNA from 1 species
UACAGAGGAUGCAAGCGUUAUCCGGAAUGAUUUGGCGUAAAGCGUCUGUAGGUGGCUUUUUCAGUCCGCCGUCAAAUCCCAGGGCUCAACUCUGGACAGGCGGUGGAAACUACCAAGCUGGAGUACGGUAGGGGCAGAGGGAAUUUCCGGUGGAGCGGUGAAAUGCGUAGAGAUCCGGAGGAACACCGACGGCGAAGGCAGCGCCCUGGCCGCCAUCUGACGCUCAGGCACGAAAGCUGGGGGAGCGAACAGG